GAGGUAGCUGUAGCCUGUGACGUAGCUGAAGACUAUGAAACGUCAUCUAAUUUUAAUUGGAUCGGUUGUGGGGCGACCUCUUGUGGUGGUGAUAGUUAGUCGCCUUUACCCACCGUUGUUUAUUACCAGCGGGCUGCAAUGCCUUUGGAAGUCCAGUCUGUAACUGUUUCAAGAAAACAGCAUUCAGACUCUUAAUCUCUUUUAGUUCCAGCCUAAAAAUUCGUAUCUGAAUUGGCUCAGUACUUGUCAAUCAGGUUAUUAAAGAAGCCAAACCCACUGCUGUGAAAUCUAUUCCAAUGUAUAUUCCGAAGGUCUCACAAAGGAAACUAAAAUACGACGUGCUCCUCCAGCCCCACCCCCAACACGCGAAACAGCAUAUCUAAACGCAAGUUUAGGAACUUGAAUUAAAUUUAAAAAUGUAAAGAGACUGCACGCAGGCUAUCACUUCUAUUUUCGAUAAGUGGAGGAUGCCGCUUGCAGCUGAUGGUGAUGAAAAUGGUAUUAUUGAUGCUCAGAACAACCCCAUGAUGUGUGUAUAAAAAAUCGAGUCCAUUUCGACCCCAUACUUUUCUUCAAUGCCCGAAGAAACAAAUUUACAGAGGCUGUUCAAAGUCGCCAGGUGUAGUGUGGAGAAGCCGGGACUUGUAUCCACAUUGAGGUACCGAGCUAUUGCUAAAAUGGAGUAAGAGCACACUGACGCUUUGUUAUUUAUCUGAUAAAACGUAAGGCUCCUUCGCUUUUUUUUCCCCCCGCAUUUUCGAACGAAUAACAGGACCAGACCAAAUUCAAUUCUCUUUUAACAAUAAAAAAUUAAAAUAAUGGGUUGUCACUUCUUAUGCUGGGAGAAUGAGACCGGGCCUUUUGUUUUCUCAGUCUGGAUAAAGAAGAGGAAUUACUUAAUUCUAUCUAUAUAUGCCUUUGCCCUUCGCUUCAUCUUCUGAUUUAAAAAUACAAUCAAUAAGAACGAAGGCGCCUUAGACGAUCAGUAACAUUAAUUGUAUAAAAUUAUACGUCUUUCAUUGUCCCGGGAUUUCAAGGUCAUUUAUCAUUUUAAACGACAUCACGUUAGUAAUGACGCCCGGACACCUAUUGUUUAGAAGCGGAACUCAAAACUAGAGUCAAUGAAUACAUUAAAAAGGGGACCAAAUUUAGGGCAACUCCUCAACUGCGCGCAUCCAUCUCCGGGAAGGCCACGAGGAUUUCCGUAUAGCCAGCCAAUCAUAUUCCCAAUCCGAAGUUAGGGGCGGCAUUUUCAAGCCGAUGAACUGGCCGCAGUCCCGCCUUCUCGUUCCACAGUUUUGCGCGAAGGAAACCGAUGGGGAUCGAAACGGUGGCCGUUGAGCUGCUGCAGCUACCGGUGCCUGAGCAAAGCGUUUGGUGGCCAUCGGCGUAAUGAGCGGACGGCAAAGAACGCUUUUCCAGACGUGGGGCUCAAGCGUCUCCCGAUCUGUCGAUGCUUCGGGUCGCAGCUCCGGAACUGAGCGGCCUCAGAGCCCUGGCACCUCCAAGUCGCGUUUCCCUGCACCGGCAGAGGCUGCGGAGGCUCAGCCGGAGUCGGACGAUGAUGUGCUUCUGGUCGCGGUGUAUGAGGCUGAGAGGCAGCUGAGUCUAAAGGAUGGCGGGUUCUGCAAGUCAGCGGGCGCCGUGUGGAUUUACCCAACCAACUGCCCGGUGCGGGACUACCAGCUGCAUAUCGCCCGGACCGCUCUGUUCUGCAACACGCUGGUCUGUUUGCCCACCGGGCUGGGCAAGACCUUUAUUGCCUCCGUGGUCAUGUACAAUUUCUACCGCUGGUUCCCUUCCGGCAAGGUGGUCUUCAUGGCUCCCACGAAACCCCUGGUGGCACAGCAGAUCGAGGCUUGCUACCGAGUAAUGGGUAUACCGCAGUCCCACAUGGCCGAAAUGACAGGAUCUACUCAAGCUUUCACCAGGAAGGACAUAUGGCACAAUAAGAGAGUCCUUUUUCUUACGCCUCAGGUCAUGGUAAAUGACCUUUCUAGAGGAGCUUGUCCUGCUGCUGAAAUAAAGUGUCUGGUUGUUGAUGAAGCUCAUAAAGCACUUGGAAACUAUGCUUAUUGUCAGGUUGUAAGGGAACUAGUCAAAUACACAAAUCACUUUAGAAUCUUGGCUCUCAGUGCCACCCCAGGUAGUGAUAUAAAGGCUGUGCAACAGGUUAUUACUAACCUACUGAUUGGGAAGAUAGAGCUUCGUUCUGAAGAUUCUCCAGAUAUUUUACCAUAUUCUCAUGAAAGACGAGUUGAGAAGGUUGUUGUUCCCCUUGGUGAAGAACUUGCAGCAAUCCAAAAGGCAUAUAUCCAGAUUUUGGAAGCAUUUGCCAGUUCUUUGAUUCAGAGGAAUGUUUUAAUGAGAAGGGAUAUCCCCAGCCUUACAAAAUACCAGCUAAUUCUGGCAAGAGAUCAAUUUAGGAAAAACCCAUCUCCAAAUAUUGUGGGACUACAGCAAGGCAUAAUUGAGGGAGAGUUUGCUGUUUGUAUUAGUUUAUAUCAUGGUUAUGAAUUACUGCAGCAAAUGGGAAUGAGAUCAUUAUAUUUAUUCCUUUGUGGAAUUAUGGAUGGAACUAAAGGAAUGACUCGGACAAAAAAUGAACUCGGCCGAAAUGAAGACUUCAUGAAACUCUUUAGUCAUCUAGAGGGCAUGUUUGCACAUACACGUAAUACUUCAGAAAGUGGUGUUUCUGCUAUCCGAAAAGGAGACAAAGAUAAGAAAUUUUUCUAUAGUCAUCCAAAGCUAAAGAAAUUAGAAGAAGUUGUAGUUCAGCACUUCAAGUCAUGGAAUGAUCAGAACACCUCCAAAAAGAAAUGUGACGAGACCAGAGUUAUGAUCUUCUCAUCAUUUCGAGAUAGUGUUCAAGAAAUUGCAGAAAUGCUUUUUCAACAUCAGCCAGUUAUUAAAGUAAUGACUUUCGUUGGCCAUUCCUCAGGGAAAAGCACGAAGGGUUUUACCCACAAGGAGCAAGUAGAGGUAGUGAAACAGUUUCGUGAUGGUGGUUACAACACAUUGGUUUCUACCUGUGUUGGUGAAGAAGGCUUGGAUAUAGGGGAAGUUGAUCUUAUAAUAUGUUUUGACGCCCAGAAGAGCCCAAUUCGUCUUGUACAACGAAUGGGUAGAACUGGCCGCAAACGUCAAGGCAGGAUUGUUGUUAUCCUUGCCGAAGGACGAGAAGAACGUACUUAUAAUCAAAGUCAGUCCAACAAAAGAAGUAUUUAUAAAGCUAUUUCAGGUAACAGGCAGGUCCUUCAUUUUUACCAAGGAAGUCCGCGAAUGGUUCCUGAUGGAAUCACUCCAGAAUUACACAAAAUGUUCAUCACACAUGGCGUCUAUGAACCAGAGAAGCCUUCUUGGAACUUGCAGCGAAUGAGGCAGAAUAACUCAAAGAAAGAUUGGUCCUUAUCAGAAGAAGAAUUUAAAUUAUGGAACAGACUUUAUAGAUUAAGAGAUGGCGAUGAAAUUAAGGAGAUAACAUUGCCUCAAGUUCAUUUUCCAUCUUUACAAAAUAAGGAACUCAGAUCAGCUCAAGAACCAGCCAUUGGAAUUCAUCAGCUCUCUCUCUCUGAAUGGAGAGUGUGGCAGGAUCAUCCUCUUCCUAUCCAUCUGGUUGACCAUUCAGAUCGAUGCCACCAUUUUAUAAGCAUUAUGCAAAUGAUAGAAGGAAUGCGACAUGAAGAGGAAGAAUGUAGCUAUGAACUGGAAAUUAAACCUUAUUUACAAAUGGAGGAUGUUAACUCAACAUUUAGUGUACCCAGGAACGAAUAUAGUCCUCUUGCUGAUGGCAUCUUUACUGAUAACAAGGAAUCUUUAUUUACAAAGGCUGUAAAUCAAGGCCAUUCAUCCCUAGUGACUGAAUAUGAUGAAGAAUGUUCUGAAAUUCUUAAACAGUCUCAUAUUAAACCCACUAAAGUUGUUUCUCUAAAGAACAAAGCUUCUAAAGAAAUGAUAAAAGAUAAGCCUAGAAAAGAAAACGAUGGUGUUAUGGAUUCCUUUGAUACCAAAGGAAAUUCUACUGCUGAAAACACUUUUCAGGUAGACCUACCAAGUGAUAAAAUGGCAUCAGAUACAGAUGAAGUUGCUGCCACAUGUUCUACCGAUAAAAAUGUUGUUAAUCAGCCAUGUGUUUUAUUAACCAAGUGUCAGGUUACAAAUAAAUCUUCUAGUUCAUUUGCUGGAAAUUUUUCAGAUUCUGGCUAUAACAGUUUCAGUGAUGAAAAAUCGGUUUCAUCUAGCUUAUGUCUUCCAUUUGAAGAAGAGCUUUAUUUAGCUAGAACUGAUGAUCAAUUUUAUAAUUGUCACUCAUUGACAAAAAAGGCACUAGCUAACGUAGACCGAUUUUUAUCUCAUUCUCCUCCGCCUCUCAGUGAACUCGCAGAUUUGGAAUAUGAAAUCACAAGGGAUUCUAUACUUGAAAAUUCAGUUUCCCUACCCUACACAGAGCAUUUACAAAAUGAUAAGUCCACCUGUUUGAUGUCGCUGGCAGCUAUGAAUUCCCAACGGAAUUUAGAUUUGAAUUCACUAAACAUACCAUCUUCUAAUAAUAAUCACCUUUCUCCAAUAAGUUGCCUUUAUGAUGCAAAUAAUGAAAAAAUUUGUAAUGGGUCAAUCUGCUGUGACUACAAAGAUGAAGUACAUGGAGAUAUUCAAGAUGAAAACUUAGUACCUAACAAUCAUGUUCAAGUAAACACAGGCCCUUCAAGGUAUUUAGUUAAAGAAAAGAAUCAUGAUGUUGAUAACAGUGGCCUCCCAGUAUUAUCCACUGAUCAGGAUGAGAGCUUACUAUUGUUUGAAGAUGUUAAUACAGAAUUUAACGAUGUGAGUCUUUCUCCCUUUAACAGUAAAUGCAAACCUUCAGGUGUGUCAGACAAAACUGCUGUAAGUGAAAUGGCACCGAUCUCUCAGUUCUUAAUUACUGAUGAACUUUUGUUAGACAAUGAUUCUGAACCCCAAGAUCAAAUCAUCUGUGAUACUAAUAAUUGGAAACCUCAUGAAAGUUUGAGAGGUGUACAUAAGGAAAAACUGAAGAACGGAGAAUAUGCUUUUGACUGCUCUAAGGAUUUAUUCUCUGUUACCUUUGAUUUGGGAUUUUGUAGUCAAGAUUCUGAUGAUGAAAUAUUAGAACAUUCAUCAGAUAAACAUAAGAAUAGACUUCUAAAUGAUCCAUCUGGAAGGUAUUUAGGUACUAAGGAGAUAAGUGAUGCAAAUUAUGUUUCAAAUCAAGCAUUAAUACCAGGACAUCAUGUCGGAAGUUUUAUGAGGAGAAGCAUUACUAUCCAAUCAAAGGAAGAUAAGCAGAGUCCAAAUCUUGCACUUUUUCCACUGGGUACAGCGAAAAAUAAAGAAUUUGCGUCUCCUGGUUAUUCUCAGUUUUCUUUACCGGUAGGAGAAAAAGCUGUGAGUACACCACUUUCUAAAUCAAAUGCAUUGAACUCAUGUUCUAAGAUGAGAGAGGAAAUGCCUAAGACACCAGAUUCUAAUAAAAAAAAGCUACAAAGUUUGAAAGAAAGUUUGAAUUCAACCUUUGAUUUGGGACUAUCUCCAGUAAAGCCAAAAAGCAGUGCACAAAUCAGUCUCCGUCCAUCCUGUCAUUAUUUUGUUGAAGAACAAUUAUUAACAAGUAGUGAAAGUGAAGAUGAUGAAAUUUUCCAAAGAAAAAGUAAGAAAACAAAAAGAAAUGUUUUAAAAUCCCCUGAGGAUCAGAAAAAUAGUGAAGUUGAUUCUCCACUUCAUGCUGUUAAAAAGCGCAGAGUUCCUCUAAACAGAUCAGAAUUAUCAUAUAGUGAUGAGAGUGAGAAUUUUCACAAACUACAUCCAUAUUUAGAAGACUUCAAGGAUUGUAACAAGAAUUCAAAAAGAGGUGUCAAAGUUCAAAAAAUACACAGCCACAUAAAGCGUGUAGCUAGGCAGUUUUUGGAUGACGAAGCAGAACUUUCCCAAGAAGAUGCCGAGUGUGCUUCAUCAGAUGAAGAUGAGUCAGAAAAUGAACAAGAUUCCUCAUUACUCGACUUCUUAAAUGAUGAGACUCAACUUUCACAGGCCAUUAAUGAUUCUGAAAUGAGAGCUGUUUAUGUGAAAUCUUUACGCAGUCCAUUGAUGAGCAAUCGGUACAAAAUGGUUCAUAAGAAACAUAACAUAAACAUUUUCUCACAGAUUCCUGAGCAAGAUGAAACGUAUUUGGAGGACAGUUUUUGUGUUGAUGAAGAAGAGUCUUGUAAAAGCCAAUCAGGUGAAGAAGAAGUGUGUGUUGAUUUUAACUUAAUAACUGAAGAUUGCUUUGCAAAUGGAAGUAAAAAAUAUAAGACUAGGCGUGCAGUAAUGCUAAAACAAAUGAAGAUCCAACAAAAUUGUGCACUUUCUAAAAAGAAAUUUUCCAGAAUUAUUUUACCAGAUGAUUCAAGCGAGGAGGAAAAUAAUGUAAAUAAGAAAAGAGAUUUCAAUACUGUGGUUAACCCAACCACUGUUAACAAGAAUGAACAACAGGACCAUUGUUUGAAUUUAGCACCUUCUGGGUCAUUGUUGCAGUCCAAGGUCCAUUCUAAUCCAAUUGUUAAUCAAUCACCCAAGCAGAUACAAAAGACACCACUUAAUCUAAAAGAUACAGUUUCUGAAGUCUUGGACUUCAAGCCUCAGAGCCGUAAUAAAAUUGGAUCUACUUCACCAUCUUUCGCUAUUGAUUCACAGAAAGACUGUGGAAAAUUUCCAGUUCAACUGAAGGUUGGUAGCACUCUGGAGGAUUCCAGCACUUCAGUGGCAUGUUGUUCCAAUUCAAGACCAUAUUUAGCUGGGAUACAUACUUCUAGACUUCCACAGGAAGGAACAAGAACCCGUAUUCUUGUAGAUAGUCGUGAAAUCGCUUCAGGCGCAGAAGUAAUUUCUUCCCUAAGAGCAAUUCAUGGGUUAGAAGUAGAGGUUUGUCCUCUUAAUGGUUGUGAUUACAUAGUGAGUAACCGCAUGGUGGUGGAAAGGAGGUCUCAAUCUGAGAUGUUAAAUAGUGUCAAUAAGAACAAGCUCAUUGACCAGAUCCAGCACCUGCAAAGCAUGUUUGAAAGAAUAUGUAUGAUUGUGGAAAAGGACAGAGAAAAAACAGGAGACACCUCAAGGAUGUUUAGGAGAACAAAGAGCUAUGACAGCCUGCUGACUGCCUUAAUAAGUGCUGGAAUCCGAAUUCUUUUCAGUUCCUGCCAAGAAGAAACCGCAGAUUUGCUAAAGGAACUGUCUUUAGUGGAACAAAGAAAGAAUGUUGGUAUUCAUGUUCCAACGGUAGUGAACAGUAGUAAAUGGAACGUACUUCAUUUUUAUCUAAGUAUUCCCAAUGUAAGUUAUAUAACUGCAUUAAAUAUGUGCCACCAGUUUUCAUCAGUGAAAAAAAUGGCUAACAGCUCACCUCAAGAAAUCUCCAUGUAUGCACAAGUAACACAUCGAAAGGCCGAGGAGAUCUAUGCCUAUAUUCAUUAUGUAUUUGACAUGCAAAUGUUACCAGACAGUCUUAACCAGUGCAGACUGAAGUCCGACGCAUGAUCACACGGCUCAAGAAGCAGUGAUCAAAGAACUCUUAAGAUACCGAGUGCACUUCAAUGAUGAAAGUGAGGCCAGAAACAAGUGACUGAUUCAAGUUUAGACUGACAAAUCUAGAACCAGAAUCCAGACUGGAUCUCACAGUUGGAUGACUUAAAGGAUAUUCCAGGUGAUGAAAACCCUCUACUAACUUAUCAGUUCAGUUUAGCAAGCCUUUUAUUUUUAUACAGUUACUUCCUUCUUGUACUUCUCAUACUAACUACAAUUAUUUUUUUCAUGUUUCCUACCUUGUCUCUUUCUUCCCUCAUUCUUAGCAAAUAGACUUGAUUUAUAAUUUACAGAGGAAAGCUGAAACCAACCAAAAUGGUUUUUCUCAAUUCCCACUCCUACAAUUCCUAGUCCUGAUCCUAGGAGCAAAUCCCAGUUGAACACCAAUUCCUAUCCUCCUUGGCUCCAAGAUCUUGUAUGAUCAAUUAUCCUCUUUCCUUUAUGACUAUCUGGGAGCAAUCUUACAGGUAUAAUAAUGUGUGAUUUUAUUAACAUAUUAAUUUGAAUCAUAAAUACUGAAAAUUUGGUUUAUUGCAUAGCAAGUAAAUAAGCCUUGUUCAGGAUUAGCAUGUUACGAGUCUUUGUUGUCCUGUACAAAGAGAUCACUUCUCAAGUGAUAAACUGUUUCAUUAUUUAAAAUCGUUAUAAAAAGUUAGCCAACUACUAGAGAUAGUGAAGUCAAGAGAUAAUGGAGAGGCCUGGAAGACUCAUUAUUUAAAAUAAAAAAGUUCUAGGGAAUACAUAGUCACAAUAUAAAUGAGGAUCGUGUGCUCUAUUAAAAAAAAAAAAAAGGCUUAUUUCCUUAAUUAUAAAAGUAAUGUAAACUGACGAAAAAAACCCACAUCAGCUGUAUAAUUCUAUAACUUAGAAAUAACAGCUGGUGAUAUUUUGGUCAAGAAAUUUCCUUUCUCUUAUGGAUACAUGUUAUGCAAAAUUGGGAUCAUGUUGUAUUUUUAUUUCUUAGUUUUUAAAAAUUAUUUACUGAACAUUAUUCCAUGUCAUUAAAACUUUCUGAUCCAACAAUUCCACAAUCAUACUUGUAUACCAGUGUUGACUGCAGCAUUACUCAUGAGAGCAAAAAGCUAGAAACAACCCAAGUGUCCAUCAACAGAUAAAGGAUAAACAAAAUGUGGUACAUUCAUACAAUGGAAUAUUCAGCCAUAAAGAGAAAUGAAGUUCUGAUACAUGCUACUACAUGGAUGAACCUUGGAAACAUCAUGCUAAGUCAAAUAAAUCCCACAAACAGACAAAUAUGAUCUCACUUAGCUGUCUAGAAUACAUAGACAAAGUUUAUUACUGGUUCUCAGGAAAAUGGGGGAAUGGGGACUUACUGCUUAAGGGGUAUUGAGUGUCUGUCGGGGAUGACAAAAAGCUUUUGGAACUAGAUAGUGGUGGUGGUUGAACAACAUGGUAAAUGUAAUUAAUGUCCACUUGAAAAUGGUUAAAGUGACAAUUUUUUUGUUAAUUUUUACCACAACUGAAAAAAAUUGAGGACAUGAUUUUUAAUUGUUAUAUAGUAUUAUGUUAUAUGAGCAAACCUUAAUUUCAUAACUAUUUUUUUAUUGUUGGACAUUUAGGUCAUUUCUAAAUUUUCAGUAUUAUGUUUUGAUGAAAAUCUUUGUUCUUACAAAUAUACAUACAUACUUGCCCAAAUCUCAUUAUUUAGAAUUGACUAAUAUGAUUUAAUGGUCAAAGAGAUGAACACUUUAAGGCUUUCAAUGAAUUUGGCCAAAGUGCUUAUCAAAAACUUUGUGCAAAAUUAUACUUUCAACAUGACUCUUAAAACCUCACCCAGUGUGUCACCUGUACUAAAUAUUAAAACUAAAUAAACCAAGAGUAAUUUGUGGAUAGGGAACAAUUGUUUUUGCGCAAAAAAUGAACUUUAAAUAUCACCAAGCUUCUUGAGAGUACUGAAUAUUUUUUCUCAAUAUCAUCUGACUUCGCCUCUGUAUGGAAAUUACUCUUGUUAUGAUCAGUACUGACCUUAAUUGCUAAAUGGAAUGGCCUAAUUUUCAGGCCUUAUUCUCACCAUCGUUUUCUCUGUGACAUCUGACUGUUGGCUACCCCUGCUUUUUUCUUAAUUAUAUUUAUAUUUCAAAUAGUUUCUGUAUUCACAUGGUUCGAAAGUUAAAGUCUUCCUCCCAUUCAUCCCCAGCUACCUUGGUUCCUCUCCCUGGAGAUCACAAAUGUUUUCAGUUUCCUAUAUAUCAUUUCAUAGACAUUUAAUCAAAUAAAAGCAAUUAUGUACAUACAGGUGGUGCCCACAUUAUGAAUGAGAUCCAUUCCCAUGUCUAUCUUUAAGUCAGAUUUGUAGGUAAGUCAGAACAGGUACAUAUGGUUCAUUCAGUCAGUCAAAUGUUCGUCUUAGUAUAUAUUUUACCUUUCUAUGCAUAUAAAACACUUCCAAACUGCACAGUGCUUUCACGAGCAUCACAAAGUAGUAGUGCAUUUAUUACGAGCCACUGUUACAUAUUUAACUCAAACAUUUAAUAUAAUAGGGUUUAUUGCAAUCCAUUCUUAAGUAUGAGUUGUCUGUAAGUCGGACAUUCGUAACCUGGGGACUGCCUGUAUGCAUAUAUAUUAUAAUAUACAUCAUAAAAAAACCUGUUGCCAUUGAGUUGAUUCCAACUCAGAAACCCUGUAGGACAGAGUAGAACUGCCCCAUGGGGUUUCCAAGGAGUGCCUGGCUCAAAUACCUGACCUUUUGGUUAGCAGCUGAACUCUUAACCACUACACCAGGGUUUCAAAUAGAUACAUGUAUACACACAUAUAUGUUCCCAUUACUGUUGAUUUUGACUUAUUGCAAUCCCAUGUGUUUCAGAGUAGAACUGCACUCCACAGGCAGUGAUCUUUCAGAAGCAGACUGCUAGGCUUUUUUUCCGAGGCCUCUAGGUGGGUUCACAGCACUUAACCAUUUGUGCCAUUAUGUGUGUGUGUGUGUGUAUGUAUGUGUAUACGUAUACAUAUGAGCUCAAACAUAGCAAUGAUUGUGAGGAUAGCACAGGACCGGGCAGUGUUUUGUUGUACAUAGUCACUAUGAGUCAGAACCUAACUUGAUGGCACCUAACAACAACAAAUGUGUAUAUAUAUAUAUAUAUGCAUGUAUUUUACACAUACAUACUAUAGCAUCCAUUUACACAAAUAGCAGCAUAUUAGUCACUGCACAUAACUUUUUCCAAUUAAUGUAUCUUGGACAUUUUAUCCUAAUAUUUUAUUCUAAUAGUAUAUAACAAAUUGUUGUAUUAAUAUCUAUGACUACAUAAGGUAUUAGAAUUUAUUAGUCUCUACUGAUGGACAUCUGAGUGGUUUCAGUCUUUUGCCAUUAUAAACAAUGCUGCAAUGACAGGCUGUACAUUGAUAAUUUCUAGAAAUAGGAUUGGUGGGCCAAAGGGCAUGUGAAUUUAAAAUUUGGAUAAAUGUUGAAAAAUUGUUCCUGCUGAAAUUGUACUAAAUUACCUUCUCAUUAGCAAUGCAUGAAAAUGGCUUUCCUUCUCAUUAAUUUAUAGGAGCACUAUAUAUAUUAGGGAAAUUAGCCUUUUGGCUGUGAUUAUGUUCUUUUCUCAGAUUGUUUCUCUUUUGGUUGUUUAUGGUGGUUUAAUACCAAGCAAAACCUUUCUAUUUAUUUUUUUGAUACGGUUGACUUUAUCAAUGUUUUCAUUAGUGGCUUCUGGGUCUUUUAUCAGAAAGACCCUCACUAAUUUGAGGUUAUAAAACAAAUCUCCAAGGUUUCCUUAGGUAUUUUUUAGAACUUAAUAAUUUACCUGUAAAUUUAUCCUGAUGUAAAGUGUGAGCUAUGUCCUAACACUAUUUCAACAGAAUAACAUCUCUAAUUGCUGAAAUUGUCCAUCUCGGAGCUUCUAGGAGAUACUCUUUAUUGAUUUUUUUUUUUUUAAAUAAUGAUGGCCUUCCAGUUAUAGGGAUCUACUCACAUGAACUCGUAAAAUGUUUAAAUAUUCCCCAUUAUGCUGAUGAAGAAUUACAGUAUUAAAUGCAUAAAUAUUUACCUAUUU